GUUAAUUUGCAUAUCACCGCAGCUAGUUUUAUUUCCUUAGUGCCGUGUUAUCAUGAAGCCCUUCAAGCCGGCAUAAACCAGAACCAAAGAAAUAAUGCUUUAACAGCACCACGCUGCAAUCCUCUCCCAUUGAUGUCACCUCUGAUGUCCAUAGCUGCAGCAGAACACAGCAGACAGCUGAGUGUGCAGUAGAAGUUUCUGGAGCUGCAGUGUGCUCGUGCACCAACAGGAGCUGGAGGCGAAGUGUCUAUGCAGAGGCCUGCUUCCCUCGGGACCCUUCCAAAUGACUCCGGUGACCCUGCGGCCCUCCUCGAUAGUCGGCAUGCACUCCAGCAGGUCGCAGGCAGAGGUCAGGGGUCACUUGAAGCAACACGGUCUCAAUAUGUGACACAGACUAACAGGAUCAAAAGGCAAAUGAACUCUUUGGACAAGGUCAUGUUUUUGCAUGUUGGUGAAAGGAUUGACAAGGCUAGUGAUUUAACCUCAAGUGCAAUUAUGAGAGGUUGUUUGGUGUCUGAAUUUGACUUCCUAUUACAAUUUGACCACCUCUGUCUCUUUGGUUCUUUAUCUAAUAUCUUCCAAAAAAUUUGAAUCCUUGUUAAAAAAUGUUGUUUUAAAAGUAUACAUUGACUGACUGUAUCUAAAAAUAUACAGCUUUGAAUAUUAUGUUGUGCAAUGCCUUUUUCUAUUUAACAAGCCCUGACCAAAUCCAGUGAAUUAGGGAUGACAGUGUUAAAGUGCAAAUCUAAAUAGAGCUGGUCAUAUUAGCUUUAUUUGUAGAGAUAUAGCUUUAAUCAUUUGAACACAAUAUACUAUCAAGAAUAAGAGAAACAAAAAUCUGAUAUUAUGCCUCCGUGCAUUGCUUUAAAUUAUUUUCAUCCCAGCACAAACACUGAAUGUGUAUCAUUAAUAUCAGCUCUGAUCUACAAGCUACAUGCUAACUGACUGGGUUUAAAUAACGUACAUUUCUCCCUCCAUCCAGAGUAAUGUUCCAAAUUUGUUGCCUUCAUUCCAAUCAGCGAUAUUUCCUGGUCGCAGCGUGGUGUUACAUUGUGUUAAUUAGAACCAUAGGCUGGCUUUAUGACAAAGUGUGGGAGGACCUGGAGGUUGAAGUGCUGCAUGAAUGCGAUGUGCAUCAUCAGCCUAAUGAAAUAUAACAGUGAAAAUUAAGUCAGCCGCACCUGAGGCACGCAGAACAACAGGGUUACUGAUGCCAAAUGAUGUAGGCUUCAGCUGUGUGUGUGUGUGUGUGUGUGUGUGUGCGCCUGUGUGUGGAUAUGUGUGUGUUUAUAUAAGUGCAUUUACCAGAGCGUGAAACCACAAAGGAAGCAAUUAUGUUUGUUACUGUAUUAAUUCUUUCUUUGGAAUAGAAAGGAAGAAAACACUGCAGAGGAAAUGUGAUGUAGGCUGCGUAUCUUUUUUGUCCUAGUUGGAGCACCACAUUCGCCAAAGUGCAUCAAAGUGUCAGCAAUUCAAAUAUGAAAUAUGGAUGAAGACAAUGGUGCAUUUCUCACAAUUUUUCUAAUAAACUGUCAAUCAAACUGCUCUCUGAAUGACACUAAUAUCACAUGAUGCAGCAUCCCGAAUCAGAGUCCUCAUCGAUGCUCGUUCCCCCCCUUUUGGCUCAAUGUGAGGCCUGUCCUCCCCUCUUAUUAUCACCAUCAUCAUUCGGACAUGAAAGGAGAGAAACAAGUGCCGCACCAUUGCCAAGGAGAAACCUUGAUCUCCCAGCAUUUGCAUUCGCCACCUUGUUCCAUUGGGUGUGUGAACGCAGUUAGCAAGGUGGUCUCUGAUUGGAUGCCACUGAAAAGCUGGCAUUCUGCUACAAUGCUCAAAGCAGACGACAGGCUCUCCCCCUCCCCCCCCUCCCCCUCUCUGUACACUGUCAAACUCAGCUAGUGGCACUAGGGGGCAGCCCACUCUGACAGUUGUUGCUGUGAAGCAGGCAUCUAGAGGAGGGUUUUCAUCAAGAGAAAAAAGAAACAGAGCAAGAAAAAAUAUAUAUUCAAAUGAUUAAUUCAUUCAUGUUGAUUCCUUUUAAAAAAUCUAUUAGGAGUCUGUGAGCUAAGAAAAACAGACUGUAAGCUGUGUGAAGCAUAACAUUCAUACUGUAAAUCAUGGAUUAAGCAUAGACUCAGAAUAUGGCAUAAUCUUGUCUUUGUGUGCCUCACUAGAAGCACAUAACUGAACUAAUAAUUAAUAAUAAUAUAUGUGGUAAAGUUUUCUUUACCAUAAAUAAAAUAAGCAGCCAUGGUGUGUCUGAAUCAACCCCUUUCACCGUGAGAUGUGUGAGAGAUUGAUAAGCGACACAUCUCAUUUUAAUUCUAAGAAUGUUUAAAAAGGCCAAGAUGGAUAGGGAAUAAAAACCGCACAUAAUCUAGAUUACUUCUUUUGUUUUUAUUAGUGAGUGAAUAGGGGUCGUUAAUUUAUUGUUUCUCAUUAGACACAUGCUUACACUCACUGCAGAAGGAGCUAUAUUGUUGCAGUGUGUUUGUGGUGUGUGGUAUCUAUCAGGAUGCUGCUGAUUGAAGCCCAACAACAAUAAAGCAUGAAGCACCCAAAAAAUGAGCCGUGUUUAUUUGUAAAUGAAUGGAUGUAAGAAUAGUGAUUUGAAUCUCAAGGACAGUCAGCUAUUUCUUAUUUCUUUCACGAGGCAGUGGACUUAACAUUUCAAACAUGACUAGAUUUAAACGUACUUAGCUUGGUUAUAAUCUCGGCCUCUUUUUUUUUUUUUUACCUCCAUAUUUCCUGCUUUGCAUACAGAACAGGUGCAUGUUUGGCUCAAUGAAGGCAUGACACACAACUAUGGAUUUUUGAUGACAAUUAUAAGUGAGGUAAGUAAAUGAUAAAAGGGUUAGAAUAAGAGCGAGAGUUGCAGGGAAAAGGUGGACUAUGGUGGAGACUCUCCUCCUGAAUGAGUGUAUCAUGUAUUUCUGGGUAUUAUCUGUGGUUUCAGCUGCUGCAGAUCUAUCAGAGCUAUCUGACCUGUUCAAACAAGAUUAAACAAGACCCGUUUUACAUUCUCCACAUUCCCUUUAUAAAAUAAAUUACCUUCUAACUGUCCCCUCUCAAUUAGUAUUUUUUUAUUUCUCUGAGCGUUCCUGAGAUGCAGCAUGAAUAGGCUGAAUUGUUCCAUUAGUAUAUAAACUGCAUGCUCUUUUGCAAACUAUUAAUAAAGGCUAUUGAUCAAA